rnacentral:rRNA from 1 species
GUGGGGAAUCUUAGACAAUGGGCGCAAGCCUGAUCUAGCCAUGCCGCGUGAGCGAUGAAGGCCUUAGGGUUGUAAAGCUCUUUCAGCUGGGAAGAUAAUGACGGUACCAGCAGAAGAAGCCCCGGCUAACUCCGUGCCAGCAGCCGCGGUAAUACGGAGGGGGCUAGCGUUGUUCGGAAUUACUGGGCGUAAAGCGCACGUAGGCGGAUCAGAAAGUCAGAGGUGAAAUCCCAGGGCUCAACCUUGGAACUGCCUUUGAAACUCCUGAUCUUGAGGUCGAGAGAGGUGAGUGGAAUUCCGAGUGUAGAGGUGAAAUUCGUAGAUAUUCGGAGGAACACCAGUGGCGAAGGCGGCUCACUGGCUCGAUACUGACGCUGAGGUGCGAAAGCGUGGGGAGCAAACAGGAUUAGAUACCCUUGUAGUCC